GAUGAUCGCUGGCGGCGUGCCUAAUACAUGCAAGUCGAGCGAACGGACGAGAAGCUUGCUUCUCUGAUGUUAGCGGCGGACGGGUGAGUAACACGUGGAUAACCUACCUAUAAGACUGGGAUAACUUCGGGAAACCGUAGCUAAUACCGGAUAAUAUUUUGAACCGCAUGGUUCAAAAGUGAAAGACGGUCUUGCUGUCACUUAUAGAUGGAUCCGCGCUGCAUUAGCUAGUUGGUAAGGUAACGGCUUACCAAGGCAACGAUGCAUAGCCGACCUGAGAGGGUGAUCGGCCACACUGGAACUGAGACACGGUCCAGACUCCUACGGGAGGCAGCAGUAGGGAAUCUUCCGCAAUGGGCGAAAGCCUGACGGAGCAACGCCGCGUGAGUGAUGAAGGUCUUCGGAUCGUAAAACUCUGUUAUUAGGGAAGAACAUAUGUGUAAGUAACUGUGCACAUCUUGACGGUACCUAAUCAGAAAGCCACGGCUAACUACGUG
rnacentral:rRNA from 1 species